rnacentral:rRNA from 1 species
AUGGUUGAUGAUUCCUUGCCUUUCCAGUGCUUGGGCGCACCUAGCAGCUGCUUCACGCCUCUUGAGAAUGCCGGUAUCCCUUACUUAGGUUGGUGCUGUACGGCUUGGUUGAGCUCAAAAUUCAACGGAGACGGCAAUUGUCAGUUUUGGGCGUCGUCUGUUCAAUUUUACCGAACUCCUGAACACCGUAUAUUUGUACGGCAACAGCUGGUGAAGCAUCUUGAAUCUCAUUGGCUCAUCAUGAGGUAUAUACUGGAUAUGUCCCUAUGGAUUACAGAGAAUAUCUUAAGAAGAUGCCAAAGUCGGUGCCUGCUCCUUUUCACUAUUUAUUUACCAAUUGGUGAACUCAAGAGGCUGUUGGAGGGAGGUCAAGUAUGUUGGGUUAUAGAGGCGAGCCCCGACACCAUCAGGCAUUCUUACAUUGUGCACCUGAUCUCUACCAUGUAG